rnacentral:rRNA from 1 species
UACGUAGGUGACCAGCGUUGUCCGGAUUUACUGGGCGUAAAGAGCGCGCAGGCGGUCGUUCAAGUCGAGUGUGAAAGCCCCCGGCUCAACUGGGGAGGGGUCAUUCGAUACUGGCGGGCUCGAGGCCGGUAGGGGGAAGUGGAAUUCCCGGUGUAGUGGUGGAAUGCGUAGAUAUCGGGAGGAACACCAGUGGCGAAGGCGGCUUCCUGGACCGGUUCUGACACUGAGGAGCGAAAGCGUGGGGAGCGAUCCGG